UCUUAUGGAUGAGCAAAGAAAAUAUUUUCUUGAGAUGGAAUAUAAUCCAGGUGGAGAUGCUAUGAA
rnacentral:pre_miRNA from 1 species